GGAAGUUGCAAAGAUAGUACAGAGAGAUCCUUGAACCCUUCAUCUAGUUUCGCUCAAUGGUUACGGCUCUGGGAACUAUAGCAAUGUAUCAAACCCAGGACCUGACAUUGAUUUUAUUUAUUUGUCAGAGAGAGAGAGAGCACUCGCACAAACAGGAGGAAUGACAGGCUGAAGAGGCAGAGGGAGAAGCAGGCUCCCUGCUGAGCAAGAAGCCUAAUGCGAAACUUGAUCCCAGGACCCUGAGAUCAUGAUCCAAGCUGAAGGCAGAUGCUGAACCAACUGAGCCAUCCAGUGUCAUAAUGGUGAAGAGGAUGGUGACAUCCAAGGACAACCACAGGGCUUCUCUCUCAACACUGGUGAGAACAAGAUUCCUCCCCCUGGGUCUGUAGCUCCCAGCAGAGUUCUGGAAGCUGAUUAAAGAGAAGAUCAGAAAUAAUAGCUGCCCCAGGAGAACCUCAGCUGGUGAAACCAUUGGUACAAGGACCAAAACGGACUGAAGGCAAGAAAGGGAGAGAGACACACAGAAGAGAAGGAGCCCACCAACAAGACAGGUGGGUGGAUGGACUUCUCUACUGGCCAGUUCCUUGGCUAUUCAGAAUUCUCCAGGAGGGAUAGUUGGAAAGAGCUCAGCAAUGCAAUUGGUUGCUCUAGGGUCCCUUACCUUCUGGGAUCCCUAGGAGCAGUGUGGAAGGUCAUUGGAAUGCCACGUGUGGGCUGAAUGGAGGUUCAGUAGUUCUCUGAGCAGUGGAGCAGCACCCCACAACUUUGCAGAGCAUCUCCCUACUGAGGGGUUCCUCACAGUGUCUUUCUAAUUUAAGGCGGAGGCAUACAGUCCCCCACCCCCACCCCUUUUCUGUACCCUAUAGGCCCUCCCAUUUGAAUGCUCAAGAGACUGUUUUGGAAAAACCUCUGAAGGGAAAGACUGUUUCUUUUUGCAUUUCUGCUCCACCAAUCCUAAGGCUUCCUGAAGCUGGGGGUGAGGGUGGGUAGACACCCCCUUGACAGAGACAAGGCAGGGGGUAGAGGUGGAGUGGGAAGAGGAGCUCCUGACUGCAGUCAGCACCCCAGAGAUUCAUCCUGUGUUUUGGGUUGAGUUUCAUUUGCUGGUUUCUUUUUCCAUCUUGUUUACUUUCAUCUCUUCUGUGCUCUUUCAUUCCCUUGCUCAGUAAACCUUACUGACCAUUUCCGUGGCCAGGGUCAGUCCCAGGUGAAAACUCACUUUGAAAACUGAGACAGGUCUUCUCUGUCAAAGGAGGUCACAUUCUAGGUCGGUUUCAAAACAGAGUGAACUUUAUGCUCAGUGGGGGCAGGCAGGGGUGUGGUUUGGGGGCCCAGGUUUUGGG